AGAGUUUGAUCCUGGCUCAGAACGAACGUUGGCGGCGUGGAUUAGGCAUGCAAGUCGAACGAAUCCCUGGGGGCUUGCUCUCAGGGGGAAGUGGCGAAAGGGGCAGUAAUGCGUGGGUAACCUACCUCGGGGACCGGGAUAGCCGUCCUAACGGACGGGUAAUACCGGGCGAUGUAGCGGGGAGGCAUCUCCUUACUACG
rnacentral:rRNA from 1 species